GACGAACGCUGGCGGCGUGCUUAACACAUGCAAGUCGAACGGAAAGGCCCUGCUUUUGUGGGGUGCUCGAGUGGCGAACGGGUGAGUAACACGUGAGUAACCUGCCCUUGACUUUGGGAUAACUUCAGGAAACUGGGGCUAAUACCGGAUAGGAGCUCCUGCUGCAUGGUGGGGGUUGGAAAGUUUCGGCGGUUGGGGAUGGACUCGCGGCUUAUCAGCUUGUUGGUGGGGUAGUGGCUUACCAAGGCUUUGACGGGUAGCCGGCCUGAGAGGGUGACCGGCGACAUUGGGACUGAGAUACGGACCAGACUCCUACGGGAGGCAGCAGUGGGGAAUAUUGCACAAUGGGCGGAAGCCUGAUGCAGCAACGCCGCGUGCGUGAUGACGGCCUUCGGGUGGUAAACCGCUUUCGCCUGUGACGAAGCGGGAGUGACGGUAAUGGGUAAAGAAGCACCGGCUAACUACGUG
rnacentral:rRNA from 1 species